UUCUUCUCUAUCUUCAUCUUUCUCCUUCACACACUACUCUAAUCUCCUCUAUUUCUCCCCUCCUCAUCUCCCUUUCCUUCUCCAAUCGCAUAUGAGUAGUGACCCGUCUAUUCUCUUCCUCCUUUUCCUUCUCUCUCCCUCCGUUUUCUACCACCCACGUUUACCGAAGUCUACCAUGAAUAUCGAUUACCUUGUGCGAGAGAAAACGGAUCAAUUCAAAGGUAGACUCAAAGAUAAACUCGUCUCCCCUCACGGACUUUAUUGAUUCUUUUGUUGACUUCCUCGAAUUGCCAAAAUUUCUGUGACACUUGCUACAUUAAAGGAGUUAAAAGGUGAGGGUGUGUAUUAGUAGUGAGGAGUAUCAGGAUUAGGAUUAUUAGGGUUAAGAUGAAGGGAACGGGGAUAGGAUACGAAAGAAGUAGAGGAUAAGGGUGCAAGAGAAAGGAGUUUGUAGCUUUGGAAUGAGGACGUUGCGUGAGAGGUUAAAUAUGAAACUAUAGUAGUGAAGGAUGUUUGUAUUACUCUUUCUCUCUCUCUCUCUCUCUCUCUCUCUCUCUCUCUCUCUCUCUCUCUCUCUUCGUUUAGGAAUAGAAAGAAAGACAAGUUGAUAUAUUUCUUUAGUUUACCUGAGAAUCAAACACUAAACUGAGAGAAAAGGGAAGAAGAAAGAAAGAAAAAGAGUACGAUGAUUUGAUAGAUAAAAGUGAACAAAGGAAAGAGAGAGAGAGAGAGAGAGAGAGAGAGAGAGAGGUGAUGGGGUCAGACUGCAUUCCAGCCUCUACUUAUACGCCCUUGCCUCAUAUCAAUACGUGCUUUGAAUAAGAUACCGACCAUAAAAAAAUGCAUUGUGGGGGUAACUUAAAUAAAUGUAAAUGGAGGUAAAUAAGAAUGUGUUGGUUGAUUAGUUAGUUAGUUAGGUGGUUGGUUAGAUAAUUAGUUGAUAAGGAAUGAAAUACAGAUACAAUUAGAUAGAGGCAUAAGAGGGUUACUAUAAAUGAAUGUUUGUGUGCGUUGUGAAAUGUAUAGAUGGAGGUGACAUUGAUAUAUAUUGUAAGUGUAGGUAAGGAGAUAAGUAUUAGUGGAAGUGGAUAGGGACAUAAGAAGGUUACUUUAAAUGAAUGAAUGUUUGAGUUGUGAAAUGUAGAGUUGAAAGUGACAUUGAUAUAUAUUGUAAGUGUAGGUAAGGAGAGAAAUAGAAAUGCAAGUAGAUAGGGACAUAAGAAGGUUACUUUAAAUGAAUGAAUGUUUGAGUUGUGAAAUGGAUAGAUGGAAGUGACUUUGAUAUAUGUUGUAAGUGUAGGUAAGGAGAGAAAUAUAAAUGCAAUUAGGUUGAGACAUGAGAAGGUUACUCUAAAUGAAUGAAUGUUUGAGUUGUGAAAUGUAGAGAUGGAAAUGACAUAGAUAUAUAUGGUUUGUGUAGGUAAGAAGAGAAAUAUAUAUGCGAAUGAAUGAAUGUUUGAGUUGUGAAAUGGAUAGAUGAAAGUGACAUUGAUAUAUAUUGUAAGUGUAGGUAAGGAGAGAAAUAUAAAUGCAAUUAGAGACACAAGAAGGUUACUUUAAAUUAAUGAAUGUUUGAGUUGUGAAAUGGAUAUAUGAAAGUGACAUUGAUAUAUAUUGUUAAGGUGUGCAAUAUUUCGUCAUAUAGCUUUUCGUCCUUAGAAAUUAUUUGCAAACCAAUUACCAACACUUUAUUAAUACUGUCAUUAUUGCUGCUUUUGAUUACUACUAUUUUAUUUUUAUUAACUUUACUACCGACCUCAAUGCAAUAACAGUAAUAGUAACUGGUAAAAAAGCAGGUGAGAUUUUGCUAAUUAAGGUAAAUGCAGGCAAACGAGGAUAUAAGUGAAUGAAAAUAUGAGUCAAUUUGAAAGAUAAAAAUAUAAAAGAAAAAUGUACGUUCCAAUAAAAAUAAUGAGAACAGGUAAAAAGGCAGGUGAGAACUUGUUAAUUAAAGGAAAUGGAGGUGAAUCAGACAAAAAAAUAUGGAAGGAAGUUUGUAUAAGUGAAUGAAUCAGAGUGAAUGAGGCAAUGGGUAUGAGUGAAAAAAAGAGAAAUGUAUAUUGUCGGUAGUUGAAGCAUUACACACCUUCGCUCCCAAGGUUAAUUAGCGAAAUUAGACCAGGUAAGAUGAAAGCGGGAGCGGCUGUUUUGAAGUGCCGACGUGAGGGGAAUGCAAGGAAGUAAAGGAAAACAAAGAUGAACAAAAACAAGAAUAAAAACAAGAACAAGGAAGAAAGAAAAAAAGAAACAUUAAUAAAAUAAUAAUAAUAAGCAACAACAAACGGGGAUAGAAUAGGAAGACGAAGUUGAUGAAAAAAAAGAGAGAGAGAACGCGAAGAAAAAAUAAAAGAAUAUGAUAAAGGAACAGAAAGAUAAGACUAAGUAAAGGAAGGAAGAGGAAGAAUAUACAGUAAAGGAGGAAGAGGAGAAAAAAAGAAAAAAAAUGAAGAUGAAAAAAAGUAAAAAAGGGAAAAAUGGAAAAUGGGAAGAAAAAGAAAGAAGAUAGAUGAGAAAAGAAACGAAAAAGGAGAAGCAGGAAUAAUUAAAAGAUGGAAAUAAAUGAAUAAAGGAAAAAGAAAAAAAAUAGAAGAAGAAAAAGAAGAAAAUAAAAGAAGAAGAAGAAGAAGAAGAAGAAGAAGGAGAAGGAGAAGACGAAAAAGUAGAAGAAGAAGAAGAAGACAUUAUAAUCUCUUAAAAAAAUCAAGCAGCCUGUUACAUUAUAAAACCUUGACCGAAAAUCGAGAACCAAACCCUACAAUUACUAAAUGAAAACAAAUAACGGCAAUUACAGCGCACCCAAAUACAGCGGCGAGAAAUCGGAGCUUUUGCAAACAACUAAAAAAAAAAAAAAAAAAAAAAAAAAAAAAAUCUCACGAACACAAUAUUUCGCCACUCAAGGAUUUUUUUUUUUUACCAAGCAGUUAUUUACCAGUCUAUUAUUAACACUUUAUCACUACUACUACUACUACUACUACUACUACUACUACUACUACUACUACUACUACUACUAGUACUACUACUUUUACCAUACCUAUUCCCACUUGAACACAAUAACAGUAAUUUCAGCAGGUAGACAGACAGGUGAGAUCUCAUUAAAUAAAAUAAAUGAAGGUAAUAAAUUGAUAUGCAAAUUAUUAUUACUACUAUUUUCUUCUUUACCUUUUCCCAUCUGCCUUAAUUAGAACAGGUGAAUAGACAGGUGAGGUUUGUUAACUAAGGCAAAUGUAAGGUAAUAAGUGUAGGUGCGAGUUAAUACUUCUCUAUAUAAAAUUUUAUCGCUACCAUUUUUCUCUUUACCUGCCCUUUUCACACCUGGACCCAAUAUCAGUAAUGAGAGCAGGUAGAGAGGCAGGUGAGGUCGUGUUAAUUAAGGAAGGUGGGGUGUUAACGACUCUGAUUAAACUUACACACGCAUACACAGGUCAUGAAAAGGUGCCUCUGUGUGUGUGUGUGUGUGUGUGUGUGUGUGUGUGUGUGUGUGUGUGUGUGUGUGUGUGUGUGUGUACCCUCACAUACCUUCACGGACAACCUUCGUGUUAAUCUUUUUUUUGGGGUUUGUUUUGUCAAGUGCAUACAUCAUCAUCAUCGUCAUCAUUAUCGUCAUCAUCAUCAUCAUCACUAUCAUCAUCCUCAUCAUCACUUACAGUUAUCGCUUUUGUUAUUAUUUUUUGUGAUAUUUUUUUUUCUUUUUUAAGUGUUCCUUCUUCCUCUUAUCCUCCUCCUCCUCAUCCUCCUCCACACACACACACACACACACACACACACACACACACACACACACACACACACACACACACACACACACACACACACACACACACACACACACACACACACACACACACACCACACACACACACACACAUA